rnacentral:rRNA from 1 species
GAUGAACGCUGGCGGCGUGCCUAAUACAUGCAAGUCGGACGCGGGACUUCAUUUCGGUGGAGUUCUGAGUGGCGGACGGGUGAGUAACACGUGGCUGACCUGCCCUUCAGAGGGGGACAA